rnacentral:lncRNA from 1 species
ACUGACAUCUGACUGCAACAUCAUGAGAGACCCUGAGUUUGAACCACCCAGCUGAGCUGCUUCUGAGCUAACCCACUGAAACCAGUCUUGCUCUGUCACCCAGGCUAGAGUGCAAUGGCAUAAUCUCAGCUCACUGCAACAUCUGCCUCCCAGGUUCAAGCAAUUCUCCUGCCUCAGCCUCCCAAGAAGGUGAAAGUACCUGAAUGAAACAACACCCAGUAGCCACUAGCACACCUAGCUCCCAGAUCUGUUUUUGAUGCCAUUCUUCAGUAAAAGGAAGCAAGGCUGCUUGGAGAAAUUGCUAUCAAGGACUGGGGUAGAAAAUAUACAAGAUGAAAUUGGAGCAUCUUGUAGUGCUUGAAAACAGUUGGCAUCUGUGUGAAGAUGUGAAUGGAGGAGGCAGAGUAGGCAGUGAGUGCCGCAGCCACAGCUUGUGUUCUCUGCAGCCCUGGCACAGAAGAUAGGAACACUCAUGGGGGAUGCGGCCACUGUGAUGUCUUCCCACACAAGAAGUGCCAAGUGCUUUUCUCAUGCUUUUCUGGAUUGUCCCAUGGUGGACGAGUCAGCAGGAGUGAGAUGGAGCAGCACAGUAGAGGGGCCAGGAUAUCGUUGUACAUAUUCUCAGCUAAGUGAGCACCAAUAGAGGAGAGGGAGAGUCUCAUGGAAGUUCCUUCUAAGCCUUUGGCUCUUUUUACCUUCAACAAGGUGUGCCACCUCUUUGAUCCAGCAAGUGGGAAGAACAGUCCCGGCCUCUUUGCACACAAGACCGUGAUACCAAUGCACCAUCACAGGCCCCACAGGGGAGCUGUCCGCUUCCCCACACAGCUGCUAGGGGCUCUUUUGCAUGUUCCCAACCUUUCCUGCCUUUAUCUGAUAUUCGUUCCUUAGAUCCUGGGAUGAGGAGGUGGACCAGCAGAAGGUGGGCUUGUGAAGGCAGCCCGGGGUCCAAAUCCUCCUGGCUCUUCAGCUUAGCGGGUUAGUUAACAUUCAGAAGCCUUCAUCUCCCAUCUGCAAAAUGGGCAUGUCCAACUCAGAAGCUGCCUUGAAGAAAGGGUCUACCCAGCAUGGUGCGUGGAGCCUAAGCAGUCAGUACUUCAGGACUUCACCCGGCCCCUUUCCAAUAACUGCUGCUGUCGCCCUCACAGGAUGUCACCUUCAGCGUCUGAAAGCUGGGUUUGAUGCGUCUGGAAAGGCGUCCCUGACAGGCGUCGUUGCCAGGAGCCCCUAGUGCCACCAGCAGCCAGCAGGGGAGGGCGUCCUCUGCCCGCUCACUUCUGACCCUUCUCUCGUUGCACCCGGAACAUGGUGCAGCUGGGAGCAGCCUGGGCUGCGCGGAAGGCUCAGAUUUGGGGACGGCCCUUGCCAGUGACUGUGAGCUGGGGUGUCUUGGAAACUCCCAGUCUCAGCUUCUCCAUUUAUAAGAUGAGAAUGAUCAUACCAGACUCAGGCAAGGUUGUUUGUGCAUUAGUGAAAUCAGACGUAUUAAAUAAAGUACCACAUUGA